CGGAGAGUUUGAUCCUGGCUCAGGAUGAACGCUGGCGGCGUGCCUAAUACAUGCAAGUCGAACGGAGAUUGUAGCAAUACGGUCUUAGUGGCGAACGGGUGAGUAACGCGUUGGCAACCUGCCCCGAAGUGUGGGAUAACGGUCCGAAAGGGCCACUAAUACCGCAUGUGAUCCUAAGGAACAGAUACUUGGGAUGAAAGGAGUAAUUCGCUUCGGGAGGGGCCUGCGUCCCAUCAGCUAGUUGGUAAGGUAACGGCUUACCAAGGCGAUGACGGGUAGGGGACCUGAGAGGGUGGCCCCCCACAAUGGAACUGAAACACGGUCCAUACACCUACGGGUGGCAGCAGUAGGGAAUAUUGGUUAAUGUGCGAAAGCGCGAACCAGCAACGCCGCGUGUGCGAUGAAGGCCUUCGGGUUGUAAAGCUCUUUUGACAGGGAUGAGGAAGGACAGUACCUGUGGAAUAAGUCUCGGCUAACUACGUGCCAGCAGCCGCGGUAAAACGUAGGAGACGAGCGUUAUCCGGAUUUACUGGGCGUAAAGCGCGUGCAGGCGGCAUGGCAAGUUGGAUGUGAAAGCUCCCGGCUUAACUGGGAGAGGUCGUUCAAUACUGCCAGGCUUGAGAGUGGUAGAGGGAAGCGGAAUUCCGGGUGUAGUGGUGAAAUGCGUAGAUAUCCGGAGGAACACCAGUGGCGAAAGCGGCCUCCUGGACCAUUUCUGACGCUCAGACGCGAAAGCUAGGGUAGCAAACGGGAUUAGAGACCCCGGUAGUCCUAGCUGUAAACGAUGUGAACUUGGCGUCGGUGGGUUCAAAUCCAUCGGUGCCGAAGCUAACGCGAUAAGUUCACCGCCUGGGGACUACGGCCGCAAGGUUAAAACUCAAAGGAAUUGACGGGGGCCCGCACAAGCAGCGGAGCGUGUGGUUUAA
rnacentral:rRNA from 1 species